rnacentral:rRNA from 1 species
GAUGAACGCUAGCUACAGGCUUAACACAUGCAAGUCGAGGGGUAACGAGAGGAAAGCUUGCUUUCCUUGUCGACGACCGGCGCACGGGUGAGUAACGCGUAUCCAACCUGCCCCCAACUAGGGAAUAACCUUGCGAAAGUAAGACUAAUACCCUAUAAUUUCCUCAGAUGUCAUCUGACGAGGAAUAAAGAUUUAUCGGUUGUGGAUGGGGAUGCGUCUGAUUAGCUUGUUGGCGGGGUAACGGCCCACCAAGGCAACGAUCAGUAGGGGUUCUGAGAGGAAGGUCCACCACAUUGGAACUGAGACACGGUCCAAACUCCUACGGGAGGCAGCAGUGAGGAAUAUUGGUCAAUGGGCGGAAGCCUGAACUAGCCAAGUAGCGUGCAGGAUGACGGCCCUAUGGGUUGUAAACUGCUUUUAUACAGGAAUAAAGUUAGCCACGUGUGGUUAUUUGUAGGUACUGUAUGAAUAAGGACCGGCUAAUUCCGUGCCAGCAGCCGCCGCCGUAA